UUGCUCACAAGGGAAGAUAGCAUUCAAUCGAACAAGCAAAACGCACAGAGAAUAUCAGAAUCCGAAUGUAUUUCAGAGUAAAAACGACAGUGAUACUCAAGUUUAGACAUCCCUUAAUAAUAAAAAAACAAAAUUGAAGAUAACUAAGCCUUAAUCCCAAACAAGUUGAGAUCGGCAAUAUGAAAGAAGAAAAAACUACGAAGAAAAGCAAACCUAAGCAGUGAGCACAACGGCACCACCACCCUCCUUAAUCUUCUUCUCAGCAUUCUUUGAAAUAAGCUUAGCCUUCACCACCACAGCUUGGUUUUCCGGCAAAACACCCUUACCCAAUACCUUGAAGUAACCAUACUGGGUAACAUCGAUCACGGGAGCACUACCCUUGGUAGCAGCAGCCUUGUCCUUCACCUCUUGAGGUACAAGUGACCAGAGCUUGUCGAUGUUGACGGUAGGGCAAUAGAACUUGUUGCGGAGUUUGUGAAAGUAACGCAUACCUACCUUUCCGAAGUAACCAGGAUGGUACUUAUCGAAAAGGAUACGGUGAUGGUGCAUACCUCCAGCAUUACCACGACCUCCAGGAUGCUUCCUGUGCUUACCGAUACGUCCAUGUCCGGCACUGACGUGACCUCUCUUCUUCCUGUUCUUCUUGAAACGGGUAGUCAUUUCUCCGUCGGCUGCAAAAGAGGAGAGGGGAGAGGGGAAUGGGGAACUAGGUGAAAAAC
rnacentral:misc_RNA from 1 species